ensembl:snRNA U2 U2 spliceosomal RNA
GUUGCUUCUCAGCCUUUUGGCUAAGAUCAAGUGUAGUAUCUGUUUCUUAUCAGUUUAAUAUCUGAUAUGUCCUCUAUCGGAGGACAAUAUAUUAAAUGGGUUUUGGAACUAGGAGGUGAAAUAGGAGCUUGCUCCAUCCACUCCACACAUUCCCCUGGUAUUGCAGUACCUCCAGGAACGGUGCAACCACC